AAAAAAAAAAAUAGGGUCACGGUUUUGUUUUGUUGUUGUUUGUUUUUAGAGAGUGCAACAUUGACUGGUGCCAGCCUGCAGAGCUCUUCUGCUGCCUGACCUCUCCUUCUCUUUCAUGGCUGUAGUUGUCAUUUGGAUAAUUGUAGAAGAGCAAUUAAGUUCCUUGCCUCUGUAAAUGUGCUGGUAAUAGCAGGAAGGCAAAUGCUUGAACCAGUAGUGAAUAAGUUGGCUGCAAGUAGAAUUUCUGAAGGAAGAACAACAACAACAACAGGAAGCAAAUAGCAAGUUACCAAAAAUUUGUGUGUGUCAAACGCAUCAAAGCUUUAUUGCCAAAUGUUGUUUGGCAAUAUGUUCCAAAUGGCUUUUUUUGGUAAACAUAAAUUUUGAGGAAGUUCAGGGUUGUGUGUGGCAAAACAUGUCCCUCUGUGUAUGCGUCCUGCUGCGUAAAUAGCAUGGGUCAAUGGCUAGUCCAGUGGCAGGUCUGUUGUUCCCUACUCUCGAUAUUGCCACAGUAGCGUUGCGGUAUUUAGACCUAACGGACAGGCUGAGGAAUGGAAGGAGAAUGCCUGUUUUCUGUAAGGGCUCGGAAUGCCGACCCUUUUCUCUGCCUGCCGCUCCCCUGUGCGUGAGAUGAAGCUGUUUUGUUUUUCUCCCUUGUUCCUGGUCUAAAUAUUUCUGAAGCUGUUGCUGCUGUGGGUUUGCAAUUUGUGUUACUGCAUUUUUGUAGCAUUCUAGGUAUGGGUCAUUUCUGCUGUGGUGAAGUGUCGAGAUACGGUUUUCGGUUUAAAGCAUCAGAAACUACAUUCACUGAAACCGGUAACUCACGGCGUAGGUGAAACCGAUGUGGCGUGUGCAGCUGUGCUCGCAGGGAUGCUCAGUGGCUCCUCAUCAAAACGGCAAGGUGGAUGUCAGCUGCCACCAUUUCACUGCGGUUGCCCUUUCUUCUGCCAUGAAAGUACAAGACACAUGGAAAGAUUCUAUAGUGGUCUGUGAGUACAAGGUUUUCCCAAGAAGCAUUAGCAGCCUUGUAACUAGUGACAGUGAGUCCUGAGGUGGUUUUGGUGAGUUACUGCUUCAAUAAUGUAUUUUUAUUGGAUGUAUAUAAACAUGGGCACACCUUUUUAGUAUAAAGU